rnacentral:rRNA from 1 species
UACGUAGGGGGCAAGCGUUGUCCGGAUUUAUUGGGCGUAAAGAGCGUGUAGGCGGCCAUACAGGUCAGCUGUGAAAACUCGAGGCUCAACCUCGAGACGUCGGUUGAAACCGUUUGGCUAGAGUCCGGAAGAGGAGAGUGGAAUUCCCGGUGUAGCGGUGAAAUGCGCAGAUAUCGGGAAGAACACCCGUGGCGAAGGCGGCUCUCUGGGACGGUACUGACGCGUGAGACGCGAAAGCGUGGGGAGCGAACAGG